AGAGUGAACGCUGGCGGUAGGCCUAACACAUGCAAGUCGAACGGCAGCACAGUGGUAGCAAUACCAUGGGUGGCGAGUGGCGGACGGGUGAGGAAUACAUCGGAAUCUACCUUUUCGUGGGGGAUAACGUAGGGAAACUUACGCUAAUACCGCAUACGCCCUUCGGGGGAAAGCCGGGGAUCGCAAGACCUGGCGCGGAUAGAUGAGCCGAUGUCGGAUUAGCUAGUUGGUGAGGUAAUGGCUCACCAAGGCGACGAUCCGUAGCUGGUCUGAGAGGAUGAUCACGCCACACUGGAACUGAGACACGGUCCAGUACUCCGUACGGGAGGCAGCAGGUCGGGAAUAUUGGACAAGUGGCGACAACGCCUAGACUACCACGCCACUACCGGCGGUU
rnacentral:rRNA from 1 species